rnacentral:rRNA from 1 species
CCCUUAGAUGUUCUGGGCCGCACGCGUGCUACACUGAGUGGAUCAGCGGGUCAGGUUGCGCGAAAGUGUUUCCUAAUCUUGAAAUCCGCUCGUGAUGGGGAUUGACGGUUGCAAUUUUCCGUCAUGAACGAGGAAUACCUUGUAAGCGCGGGUCAUCAUCCCGCGCUGAAUACGUCCCUGCCCCUUGUACACACCGCCCGUCGCUCCUACCGAUUGAGUGGUCCGGUGAGGCUUUGGGAUCUGAGCAAAAAGAGCGUUUCGCUCGUUUGGCUCGGAAAACUCAGUCGAACCUUAUCAUUUAGAGGAAGGAGAAGUCGUAACA